AAGAGCUUCAAGAUAUUUCUGCUUUCUAAUCUCAAAAAAGAUUUUCAUUGAAUAUCUGUUGUCGUCAACUUUGGUAAAUCCGGACAAGUACUUCUCAACUUCGUCCCACUCACCUGCAUGUACUUUCUCCUCAAAGUACUUCAUAUUGAAGAAAAAUCCUGAUUCUUGCUCGAGCUUGUGAACGGACUCCUUAAAUUUCUCCUCUUCUAGAAACUGAAGUAUGAGGAACACCAAUUCUCUGCUAAGAGAAGACAUUUUUUCCAACUCUCUUCAAAACCCCCAAAUCCAACAAUCUCCGAUUCCAGAACUCCACAGAUCCAAGCCCUAGAUAUCCACACGCGCUACGAUUUCUAGGGUUUCAGCUCCUCCUCUCUCACAUAAACAAUUAAUAAAUCAGUGCUUGAUUUCCAAAGGCUGCCGAAGAAGAAAGAGAAAUUAUAUAUAUAUAUAUAUA
rnacentral:misc_RNA from 1 species